ACGCUCGACACCUACGGGAGGCAGCAGUGGGGAAUAUUGCACAAUGGGGGAAACCCUGAUGCAGCGAUGCCGCGUGAAGGAAGAAGUAUCUCGGUAUGUAAACUUCUAUCAGCAGGGAANAAAAUGACGGUACCUGACUAAGAAGCCCCGGCUAACUACGUGCCACAGCCGCGGUAAUCUGAGCGGGCUGGCAAGGC
rnacentral:rRNA from 1 species